UGACGCCUGCCCGGUGCUGGAAGAUUAAAUGAUGGGGUGCAAGCUCUUGAUUGAAGUCCCAGUAAACGGCGGCCGUAACAAUAACGGUCCUAAGGUAGCGAAAUUCCUUGUCGGGUAAGUUCCGACCCGCACGAAAGGCGUAAUGAUUUGGAUACUGUCUCGGAGAGGGGCUCGGUGAAAUAGACUUGUCUGUGAAGAUGCGGACUACCUGCACCAGGACAGAAAGACCCUAUGAAGCUUCACUGUUCCCUGGGAUUGGCUUUGGGCUUUUCCUGCGCAGCUUAGGUGGAAGGCGAAGAAGGCCUCCUUCCGGGGGGGCCCGAGCCAUCAGUGAGAUACCACU
rnacentral:rRNA from 12 species